UUCUCUCUUAUUUCCAUAUUAAGAUGAGAUAUCACGUGUGCCAUAAAUAAGAUAGAAAUUGAAAACAAAUAUCUCUUGUAAAAUCCGUUUAGUGCUUCCACUGAAAGUCAUUAUUAUAAAUUCAACCUCAUAAUUUUUCCAUCGGCCAAAGUGAAAAAACAAAGACAUAAAACGGCUAAAAUCCCAUAUCGAAGCUGAAGAAGUUUAGGGAUUCUUUUUGAGUUGAGAAAAUAGAGAUUGUCACGUUUAUGAUAGAGCGAUGAUAAAGUGGUGUUGUUAUGGAAGUCAAUGCCUAAAAAUAAAUCCACUUUUGCCAAAUUCAUUAUUCGCAUCCACGAAAUAGUCUUUCCGGGGAUAUGUCUAAUGUAUUCCAGUAAUGUAGGAGCCUUUGAACAAGGUUUAGUUUUUGAAGAAUUCCCUUGGAAAUGUGACACGGUCCUCUCUGGAGUCAUUCGAUCUUUCGCAAUCAAUCAUGAGUUUAAGUUAAUAUCCAGGAUUGUUCAAGUUUCUAAGCCUGCUGGCCGCUUAACCUCACACAAUUCCAUAGUCCAAGCUUUUCAUCUCUAGUUAAACUGUUCGGCAUUAAUGGAAAAGAUGUAUCUCCUUAAGGAGCCAAAAUUCUAACGACUGAAUCCAUCAAGGAAAUAAAUUAUACCUACUAUAAAACUGGUCCAGUCCAAGGGAAUUAUUAUGCAUGCUUGGCCCUAUCUUUUCAGAUGGGAUCUAUAAUAGCAAAGCUGUGAAACUUGCACAUCGGAAAGCAUCACCGAAAUUACACUGGAAAAGAAUUGAUAGUAAUAGAUUAAAAACUACAUUCCUUAUAAUAAGCAUGUCAUCACAUACAUAUUCAAUAUUCUACAUAAAUGUACACUAUAAAAUUCAAUUAUGGAUCCCUUACACUACCAUAUGAAGAAUUAACGUCUUCUGUUUCUUGUUCUUUGCUAGCAUAUAGCUCUUCUCUCAGACCGCACGAACAAUCCUAGAAAGAUUUUAUGUUCCCAGUGGUAGAACAAACACGAAUUUCAGAGGCUUUAAGUUUCUUAAGAUAUUAAGGAUCAAAUAAGUCAUCCAAAUCGGUAUUUUUAAUGUCAUUUAAAUGGUCGUCAGGAAGACUCCAAACAUUUGCAAUAGGUUGCGGCUUUAUGGAAGUUAUUAACCUUUUCAAUUUAUCUACUUAAAAUAAAUUACUAUUAAUGAAUUCAAUCAAGGUAGUGAAUGUAAUCUAUGUAUAUAAGGACCUUGGAAGAUGGGGCAGGCAUGAAUAAUAAUUCACUUUGACUGGACCAGUUCGGUAGUAGCUAUCAUUUAUCUUCUUACUAACUUCAGUCGUAAGAAUUUCGGUUCCUAGAGGACAUACAUAUCUUUCAUUAAUGCCGCAUAGUUUAACUGUAGAUGAAGCGCUUGGAUUAUGGAAUUGUGUGAGGUAGAAAUGGCCAGGAGGCUUAGAGAUUUGACUUGAACAAUCCUGGACAGUAAUUCAAACUCAUAACUAAUUGCAAAACGUUGAAUGACUCCAAAGAAAGCCACGUCGAAUUCCCAAGGGAGUUCCUCAAGAAUUAAACCUAAAAAAUUAAAAAUAUAUAUGGCAAUGAAUUGAAGCAGUUGUAGAGACUUGAGUUAAUACAUGGUCAAAGGUUUCUAUAUCCCUCUUUAUCUCAAUCCUGUCAUCCUCCAUUUUCUUAACUUACAAAGAACCCCUAAACUUCCUUCAGAUUUGAAACGGGAUUGUAGCUGUUUAAUAAUGGUCAUUUAUUUAUUUCAGGAGUUGAAAUUUAGUCUUAUUUUGUCAAAUUACUAUAACAUACGUAAUUAUUAAAUAUAAAUAAUAUCACUGAA
rnacentral:lncRNA from 1 species